AUACGGCUACAUCACCUUGAGACAUCGGUUCCUGUAAGAUCAUGGAAGUUAAGCAACGUCGAGCCUUGUCAGUACCUAGAGGGGUGACCGCUUGGGAAUACCAGGUGCUGUAAG